AAAAAAUCUCAUAAACAAAAUUCAAUUCUCUCCAACCUCUCUCUACAAUCAAAAUCCCAAAUUCUUUGGAUUUUAUGAAGAACACUAUGAAGAUACUCAAGAACACCUAACACUAAAAUUGUCAAAACUCGAUAUCCUCCACUUCUCUCUUCUCUGAUCAACUUCCGGCCACAGCUCCUCCAUGACUUUCGACAACUGCUGAUCUCUUUUUUUUCUCCCUCGAGAGCCUAGCGGUGAUCUUCCAAUCCGAGUUCUUGCUUCAUUUCGUGGUUCUCGUCGAUUCGCUUGCUCGCGGGAUCCUAGUUUACUCGUUCUCUUUGCUUUAGUUUACGGAUCAUCAUCCGUUUGGUAUUGAUUCUGUUUCAUUUUACUUUUCUCGCACUUUAUCGCUUUCUCGCAUCAUCCUUUAACAUGAGAAGUAGGACCUAGACAUGCAUCUGGCCAAGUCCUCGAAAGAGGCUCUGUUUUUGUUGGUGUGUUUAUAUUUGUGCUUUGCGGCAGGGAGUCACGGUGUAAUAAGUUCUAUAUGGCACUCCGUUAAGUCCUCAUGGAAGGCACGCGGAAAGGGUUAGCAAUCAACCCCCGCCUAGUCUCAUCGAGUCCGUUCAGUAUGCGCACGCUAAGCGUUGCUCGCUUCUGAACCUGCACAAGAUCUUGUUAUCGAGUAUGUCAGGAAAAGGGUUCAUGUAGCCGGACCCCCGCCUUUCCUAUAGCUCGCGUCGCUCGACGUUGAUGCUCGGUGUACGCAUGCACCGUUUUCCUUUACGAUCCGUGACGGCUUGGUUGCUGAGAGGGGACCGCCCUCUUGUCUAUGGCCCGAUCACUUUCGCGAGGUCUAAUGCUUGGUUGACUUGAGUUGAGCUGCUCCCCUUGGCUAUGGCGGGGCCGCUUUUCUACCACUCGGUCAUUACCGUUGGUUUUGUUUGCUUUACGAGCGGAUGCUCGUUUGUGUGAUAUUCUUGUGUGCUUCCCCCUUUCCUCGUAGGUUGCUAGCUUAGCUUAGACUUGUACCCUUUGUAUGAUAACAUUAGGUAGCAAGCUUUCCCCCUUUAGCUUAGGUUUUCCUCAUGCAUUCUUUAAAACACAAACCACACUCUUUGAUUUUCUUUUCUUAAGAGCUUGUUAUUUCCGCUCCAUUCCCAAGCAUAAGUCUCCAAAGGUCGAGCAGCGGAGUGUGAAUGUAACUCGUUCACCUAAAAAACACAAAACAAACAGAAAUUAGUUAGCCGAGCUACGGUACCUCUGAUUCUGCAAAACGGAUACGUAGGCAGCGGGGUAGGGCCCGUGCGAGCACAAUCCUUUCUUUUCCCUACAUUCUGCAUUCAUUUUAGUCCAGAUUAGCAUAGAUUUGAUACACACCCAUAGGUUUAGACACAGGCGUGGAUACCAUCGAGUACGAUGGGCGCGAGGGGUGCUAAUACCUUCCCCUCGCGUAACCGACUCCCUUACCCUCUUCUCUGGUCGUGAGACCGUUGUUUUGUUUUGUGGUUUACUGGUGUCGCACGCUCGCGAAAAAUGAACAGAGUCGCCACCAAUAUAUUUAUCCCAUAAGGGAAAGGAAUACCAGGAAACCUAACAAAGGAAGGAACAAGGUCUUGCGACCAGAGAAUCAAGGUACGGGAGUCGGUUACGCAAGGGGAAGGUAUUAGCACCCCUCACGCCCAUCGUACUCGAUGGUAUCCACCUAUGUUUGUUUCUAUCUAAAGGGUGUGUACUAUGUCUAUGUCUAAAUGCGAAUGAAUGCAAAAGAAAUACGGGGAAAAGAAGGAAAUAUUUACAAAUGUGCUCGUUCAAGCCCCGCGACUUGAUGCCUACGUAUCCUUUUCAGGAAUCAGAGCGUCGUAGUUCGGCUCUUUAGUUUCUGUUUGUUUUUUGUGUUUUUUAGUUGGGCGGCGUUAACGUUCGCGCUCUUGCACAAGGGGACAGCCUAGGAUGCAAUGGAGCGGAAAUAACAGUGCCCUUAAGAAAGCGAGAGAAGAGAGAGAGAGAGAGAGUUUGGGUGUUUCGAGGAAAUCCCUUAAGCAAGGGAAACUCGAGUUACUCUUUGGUUUGUGUUUUUUAGAGGUUGGGAACUUACGCCUGAAUGGAACCCUUAAGCAAGGGAGCUCCAAGCACUCGAACAUCCCUUAAGCAAGGGAAGUUACAAGCUUCCAUUCCCUUUUUAUUAGUCAAAGUAUUUAUUAGUCAUUUUUUAUGAGUUUUCUUGGUAUUUUUUUAUGGGAAAUUUAUUCAAGUAUUUUUAGAUGGAUUGAAGUUGAAAAAGAAAAAGAAUGCAAAAGGGAACUAGUCCUAAUGUCUACAUCUAUGUUGUACAAAAGGAAAUUAGCCUAAAAUUGUCAAGGGGUAAAUUCUAAAAGAUACAAACGUAAGAUCGACUGAAAGAAAUAAAAGUCUAAUUAAACGUCAAGAAUUAAACUCUACAAAGGAUAAUCAAAAUCCGAUUCUAUACAGGUUAAUUGAACUCACAUACAAAAAUCGAUAUUAAAUUCUAAUCCUAAGUCAAUUAGCAAUUUAUCUACAAAAGGAAUUAAAACUAAGAGAAUCCCCAUACAUGAGCAAAAUGAUUUAUUAAAACUAUUAAAACGAUAGGAAAAGGGAUCACAAAAUAUUCACAAAAAUCAAAACACCCUAAAAUAUCUAUAAAUAUUUUUCAUAUAUUUUUUUAUGUGAAGGGAAUUGAAUUAAGAGUGAAAAGAAAACAAAAUUAAAUCAAACUAUUUCUAACAGGCGGGGGGUGUCAAUUGAAAAUAGUGGUAGUAUUAGCAAAACAGGCGGAGGCCCAGGUAUUGGCCCAAACAGAAUUUCUGUGUGUUCAGUUUUACUUCUAAAAAAGGUGACCACGGGCCAAAGGGGGGGUACGCAUAGCAUUAUGGCCCAUAAGUUUUUGUUGUGAUUCAAACCAGGGAGAGGUGUGAUUGGGCUCGGUGGAGGUGGCAAAUCAGAGGCCCAUGUUGUUCUUGGUCCAGUUUUAUUAAUUUUCAGAUUUAUUUGAAUUAAAAAACAAUUAAGUAAAAAAAGAAAAAAGGAGGAGGAAUCAAAUUGAGAUUAGGGUUGUGUUAGGGGCGCCGAUUCACCUCUUCUUUCGUUCUCGCUCUCUUCUUCGCGAAUACAACAACGACGACCUCUCCGGCGAGCGCCAUGAACGCCGCCGUGAGUCCUUAUUACCCCUUCCCUCAAAUUCGUUCUCUCUGUUUCUAUCUCUCCCAAACCUAAACCUCACUCGCAAUCGAACGGCUAAUGGGGAUUCAGAGCGAAAUACACAAUCCAAAGGUUCCAACUGAUUCCGUAUAACAUCAAGAACACAAAAAGGAGGCGAAGAUUUUGAAGCGAAUAAACAGAGGUACUUACCGGUCGGAGUUCGUCCGACGCGACUUCAACGUGAUGAGUCUUCUGAUUCUUCUUUCUUCUUCUUCCUUGAUUUUCUGAAACUCUGUGAGGCUCGUUGUUGGUGAUAGCGUGCUUGAAGUGAAAUUGAGAGAAUGUGAGCUCGUUGUGAUGUUGUUCUUGUGAGGCAGAGAUGUCGAUAGAAUUUACGAGAUGAUGUAGUAUGAGAACUGAGAGUGUUGUUGAGGGCGAUGAUGACUGUGGAGUGAGGUCUAGCUCAACUACUUAGAGCUUCAGAGGUUGAAGCUCUAAGAGUCAUGGUGGAGAGCGUGUAGUAGAGGUUGGGAGAGAUGAAGAAUGGAGCGUGAAGGUGAAGAAUGAGUGGCAUGAGUUGAUAUUUUCUGCUUAGCACAUCUUCAUUCAAGAUUCUCAAGCGGAAUUAUGAAGAAGAUGGUGGCUGUUCUUCUAGGUCUGUUGUAGGUGAGUGAAGCUGGUUUUAUAUGGGCAAUGAUUGGAUACUGAUAAUGAAUUCUUGGGUGUGGAGCCUGAAUCAUAACUUGUAAUGAGCUUUUUUCGAUUUCUCGAGUGUGGGACUUGGAAGGUGUGUUGAUAAUUGUUGUAGAUAGCUGAAUGAACUGUUUUAAUUGUUUUCUGAUUUUCUUGUUAAUCUCUGUUAGUAUCUCUUAUGACAGUUAGGUUGUUAGUUAGCUUCUCCUCUGUUAAUGUGUUAGCAACUAUUAUUUGGUUUAGGGACUGUUAACUGAAAGUGAGUGAAAUUUUUCUGUUUAUCGGUUUGUCAUGAAAUUCAGUAGUUAGGUUAAUCUUGCUAGUAACUAUAUGUUAGCUUUGGGGUAUGGUACUGAAUUUGAUGUCUUGAAUGGGGUAUGGGAUUGGAUGCUGUUUGAUUUUCUGUAACAAUUUGGUUUUGUUGAAUGGUGUAUGUAUGAAUGUAGAUAUAUGGGGCUGUUAGGGACAUGUUAAUUGGUUAAGAGGUUUAGGAUUCUAUAGCAGGGCUACUGUCAAUAGGUUAGAAAAAGGUUAAUAGCAUGUUAGUUAUAGGGAAGAAAGAACUGCUGUUUGUAAGUUAACAUGGAUAUUGGUUAAAACAGGAUAGUUAGUAAUGAAGUGAACUUGAGCUAGUGGAACAAGAUGCAACAGCCAGAAGUUAAAAGGAGGCCACUAUUCUGUUUUGUCUUGCACUAUAUUGAUCAUGAAUUUGCGGAUAAAUCUGAACAUGAGUUUAUGAAUGUGUGUAUGGCCGGUUUAGCGUAGGCAUAGCUUGAUUUUUGUUUGAUAAGUGCAUGAGGUACCAAGUUGAACUGAACUUGUUUAUUUUUCUUUGUGUUUUGAUGGUGAUGCACGGCUGCAAUGUGUGCGAAGAUAUACGUAUGCAUGACUUAAACUUGAAGGUGGUAUGAUGACUGAUUGGUCUGUAAGGUUUUCAAGUGUUUGGAUGGAUGUUAUAGCUGCGGAAUGGUUAGAAACAAAUGCCGAAAUGAUGAAGUCAAGUUAUGGCAAUGUGUGUUUAAUGAAAUAAUGUUGGCUGGUGCAGCAAGUGCGGGUUAUCGGCAUGUCGCGACGGGUCUUUUUUCAUUUUGGUUAUGAUGCAAUGAGGCCUGCGAGAGUACAAGGUAAAGGUAUUUGAAUGUGGUGUUUACAGGACUGGGGUGAGGCUUGAUGGUUAGAGGUUUGGCAGCUGGUUCUAGCAGGGAGACCACUUGAAGAAAGAUGAAGAAAAUUGGAGUUUUGGAUGAAAUUAGGGGGAGUCACAUUGGUGUUGACUUUGGUCCUUCAUGUAGUCCUUUUUUGUUUUAUUCCUUUGUAAUUGACUUUUGUGAAGAAUUAGAAUGGUGUAAUGAUGUAAUUUGUGUUUGGAUUUUGAAUGGAUGUUAGAUAGGAGCUGCUGCUAAUGUGUGUCUUUUGUUUAGUAUUGGGAUGGUGUUUUGGACUAUGGGAAUUAAUUCAAGUGUAAUGAAUUGUAAUGUAUGAAGUGGCUUUUGAGUGUGGGCGUUGACCCCCUUGUUUUUUGUAA